rnacentral:rRNA from 1 species
AGUGAACGCUGGCGGUAGGCCUAACACAUGCAAGUCGAACGGCAGCACAGUAAGAGCUUGCUCUUACGGGUGGCGAGUGGCGGACGGGUGAGGAAUACAUCGGAAUCUACUUUUUCGUGGGGGAUAACGUCGGGAAACUUACGCUAAUACCGCAUACGACCUACGGGUGAAAGCAGGGGAUCUUCGGACCUUGCGCGAUUGAAUGAGCCGAUGUCGGAUUAGCUAGAUGGCGGGGUAAAGGCCCACCAAGGCGACGAUCCGUAGCUGGUCUGAGAGGAUGAUCAGCCACACUGGAACUGAGACACGGUCCAGACUCCUACGGGAGGCAGCAGUGGGGAAUAUUGGACAAUGGGCGCAAGCCUGAUCCAGCCAUACCGCGUGGGUGAAGAAGGCCUUCGGGUUGUAAAGCCCUUUUGUUGGGAAAGAAAAGCAGCAGGUUAAUACCCCGCUGUUCUGACGGUACCCAAAGAAUAAGCACCGGCUAACUUCGUG